rnacentral:lncRNA from 1 species
AAUAACGCAAACCAAAGCAUAACAAGGGGUCAAAACAUGAUUUUAUAACGAAAGAUUUUCAUAUAUAUGUAAAAAUCAACACAAUAAAAAUAUCACAAAAAAUUCGAGACAACACUUCUACAACAAAACGAUAACUUAAAGUUGUUGGUCCUAGUGAGACCAAAGGAGAUAAAUCUGCUGAGCCAAAGCAGUUUUUAACCAAAGAUAAUAAAUUGUUCUAAGCAUCAGGAGCUAAGGGAGUGGAGCCAAGAACCAAAAAGAUUUCCACACAAUAAUUCUGAACGUUGUUGGGAUCCAUUAUAGAUCCAAACAAUGACUUUAAACCAGGCCUGCUUCAAUAGGAACUAGGAUCUAAAUGCAUUUUCUUAUAAAAUGAAAGUUAGGCUACAUUGCUGAGUUAAAAAUAAAAUUUUACAGAUUUAGUAUCAAAUGAUUAUUUUGCAAAUAUUAGUGAUUAGGAACAAAACAUGUUAAUACUACAAGUUCUGCACAAGACAGCGGAACCGACUGAACAAAUAUUUGUGCCCUAAUUAGCGUGCUCUCUUCCCAAACAACGCCACACCGCUCCACUCCUCAGCGAUGCACAGUAGUCAACUCAAACAUGUAAUACUUAAAAGUUACAGAUGUAGUAGUGUGCUGGGACCAUCUAUCUACACACCAACUCACUCCACACCAGAGAUACUGCCAGAGAAUGUUUUGGCAUUCUACCAGUUGUUUACGCUCCCCGCUUCCUUUUAGGUGUUUCGUACACCUGAGCUCAUCAACACAAUAACGUCUGUCAUAAUAAAUAAUAUUCAUACUAAAUCUAUUAUUAGUUGGUAUGUAAUUUUAAAUUAUAUUUUCACAUUAUAAAGCGUCCCACUUUGAGGAUAGUAAAAUAUAAAAAAAAAAACAAAUGAUAAUGAUAAAUGUAAACAUGGUCUUUAACUUAAAAACGAAGAUUGCCAGUAUAAUGCGUGUUAAGGCAUUCUGUCUCAGAAAUGGUAUCACGUCACUACAACAUACUGUCAUCAAUUAUACCAUUAAGCUAUUUGAUCCAUCAAAAGUGUGCAUAAUACUUUUUUAGCUAUUUCAAUAUUGUAAGUGCAAAAAAGAUUCAACCUCGUGUCGACUAUGAAGUAAAGAUAAAACUCGUUCAUUGUAAAUGAACUGUUUAUAAGGUAUAAAAGGCUGGUGUGUCUGUAGUAUAUUUUACAUUAAAACCGUAUGUUGUUAUAGAACAAAUGAUGGCUUUUUAUAAAUGGUUUGUUUACUAAUAUACUAGUAAUAUUGUUUUGUAAGAAAGAAAUAACUAAACAAAUACAAUACACAAGUAAGAAGAAUAAAAACAACUUGUUAUUGUUAUUGUAUUCUAUUAAGAAGUACCUGCAAUUUCAUACGCAAUUAUAUAAGAAAUGAAAUGCAUAGCCUUCUUUGUGCAUUACGAUGUAAUAUGAGUGAGGUCUUAUAUAUUUUACACAGAACUAUAUAUCAGUUAAAUAUUAUUCCUGUAUUUUUACCUAUUUAAUUUUACCUAUUAUUAUUUUCCCUAUUUAAGAGAUUCAAAAGUAAAAUACAAUUUUGUCUGGUUCUCUUUAAUGUAUUGUUAACAAUAUAUACGUAUAGGUCUUGAAAACCUAAUUCGAUCAAAAAGCUACAAACUAUCGUCUCAUUCUUCACUUACUGUCUAAGUUAUUUUCAGUGGCAUGGUCGAAUUUAACUUUUUUUCCCAAAAGUCAAAUAUAUCAACAAAAUUCCACCAUCAAUCCAAUCAGAAAGCGAUAACCUUUAUCCCUUUUAAUUUACUUCCUGCUUAAAAUAUCUAAAGUGCCAUAGUUGUAGUUUGCUUUUAGGUCGACAAAAUAUAUAUAGGAACACCAGUAUAUACAUGUAUACUAUUUACAAUAAUGUUUAAUUAGAAUAUGAUUUAAUUGUAUUGUUUAGAAUAAAUUGUUUUAUAUUUUUCUUGUCUGUCUGAUACUCGAUAACUUGGGCAAAAUUAAUUGCAUUAUUUAAAGGCGAUUGCACCAUUUAUUGCAACUUGUUGAUUGUAGUAAUUUAAUAAACACUAUAACCUGAGAUCACGUACCAUGGUCUGAUCGGUGUAGUCAA